GAAUUCAGUGAAUCAUCGAAUCUUUGAACGCACAUUGCGCCCUCUGGUAUUCCGGGGGGCAUGCCUGUUCGAGCGUCAUU
rnacentral:rRNA from 1 species